UAGUAUAAGACUGAACUGUGUAUAAAACCCAAGGGGGCUUUUAUUUUGAAAGAAAGGAAGUGGUUAAUGCAGGAACUUCACCAGUCACGGACUUCCCUCGUGUUUACAUUCGAAGCUCAGCAGCACGCACCGGAGUUCAGGUGUACAAAGGGAGGAGAGACUGACCCUGAUGAUGACCAUAUUGAACUGGAUGACAGCAGCAGCAGCAGGAACCUCCCAGUUCAACCUACUUUUGCUGUACUUAAAGGUUCCUAAGACAUUUCUCAAACAAGAACUGCUGGCCCUGCACAACAGAUCCUGAAGACCUUCCCUCGCACUUAGCAUGGUCGGCGUAUUCAGCUUAUACAUUCUCACCGUGAAAUUGAGAACAAGAACAACAAUAUCCAUACUCUUAUUAAGAAUAUAGAAUGUUGUUGUUAUUGUUCUCACUUACACUGUGAUAAUUUGAGUGGUGCUUAUUCUGCUUAAGACUGAUUACUAUACAGAACACCAAGAUGUUUACUGUACAGAGCUGAGCACUAACUAUUGAAUGAGAGUGUAGAAUAUUGUUGUUCACUGUGAGAAUUUAUGGUGCUGCUUAUUAGGGUUGCAAAAUUCCUUACAUUUUCAAAGUUGGAAACUUUCCAUGCAAAUCAAUGGGAAUUUAUAGGAAUUAACAGGAAUAAUGGGAAAUUUGCAAUAUAUAUAUAUCUGUGCAUAGCAUGCAUUAGCAUUUUUUUACAAACUUUUCUCUCAUCUUAUUCUACAGAACAAUGUAGAAACAUUUUACCCCAGCUAAUGUAGAAGGAAAGGCUGUGAACAAUUGCGUGCAUGUCAGCUGAUGACAAAAGAAUAUAUACAUAUGUAUAUAUAUACAUGUUUAUAUUUAUGCUUGCAUAUGACAGUUUGUAAGAAUUACCCCAACUUUCCCAUUAAUUCCCAUUUAUUCCCAUUGCAAGUUUCCAACUUGGAAUAUUUCCGAAUUUCCCCAGUUUAACUUCCCAUGGAAAGUUUCCAAAAAUUUACCGGAAAUUGUCCACCCCUUUGUAACCCUACUGCUUACUGUGCGUAACACUUGUUUACUACAGAGUUGAAGAGUAUUGAUUAUA